rnacentral:tRNA from 1 species
GAGGGUAUAGCUCAGUGGUAGAGUGUGUGCUUAGCAUGCACAGGGUCCUGGGUUCAGUCCCCCAUGCCUCCA